rnacentral:rRNA from 1 species
GACGAACCGUCCUAACGUUGUUCGGAAUCACUGGGCUUAAAGGGCGCGUAGGCGGGCUGCCAAGUCCGGGGUGAAAUCUUUCGGCUUAACCGGAAAAUAGCCUUGGAUACUGGUAGUCUCGAGGGAGGCAGGGGCCGUUGGAACUUCCGGUGGAGCGGUGAAAUGCGUUGAUAUCGGAAGGAACGCCGGUGGCGAAAGCGAACGGCUGGUCCUCUUCUGACGCUGAGGCGCGAAAGCCAGGGGAGCAAACGGG